rnacentral:rRNA from 1 species
GACGAACGCUGGCGGUGUGCUUAACACAUGCAAGUGGUGCGACGAACCAGAGCUUGCUCUGGGGCAAAGCCGCGAACGGGUGAGUAACACGUGGGUAAUCUACCCCGAUGACCGGGACAACCCGAGGAAACUCGGGCUAAUACCGGAUGUGGUACGGAGACAUAAGUCUCUUUACUAAAGGUAGCUUCGGCUUCCGCAUUGGGAGGGGCCCGCGGCCCAUUAGCUAGUUGGUGGGGUCAAGGCCUACCAAGGCAACGAUGGGUAGCUGGUCUGAGAGGACGAUCGGCCACACUGGGACUGAGACACGGCCCAGACUCCUACGGGAGGCAGCAGUGGGGAAUCUUGCGCAAUGCGCGAAAGCGUGACGCAGCAACACCGCGUGAGGGAAGACGGCCUUAGGGUUGUAAACCUCUUUCAGAUGGGACGAAGGUGAUGCGGUGAAUAGCCGAUGUCAUUGACGGUACCGUCAGAAGAAGCUCCGGCUAACUACGUGCCAGCAGCCGCGGUAAU